AAGUCGUAACAAGGUUUCCGUAGGUGAACCUGCGGAAGGAUCAUUCAACAAUUAAGUUGAUUUUGAUUGGCAUUACCUUUUUAAAAUCCCAGUACCCUACCUUGUAGUGCUGAAUGUGGUCGUCCAUCAAGUAGUUUACGCUACAGCGAGGGAUGGCUUUUAACUAAACUCUUAUUCUCAUAACGAAUCUGUCUGAUAACAUAUUUUCGAAUUUACUUAAUUCAAAUAAAUACAA
rnacentral:misc_RNA from 1 species